CCUACGGGGAGCAGCAGUGAGGAAUAUUGGUCAAUGGACGAGAGUCUGAACCAGCCAAGUAGCGUGAAGGAUGACUGCCCUAUGGGUUGUAAACUUCUUUUAUAUGGGAAUAAAAUGUUCCACGUGUGGGAUUUUGUAUGUACCAUAUGAAUAAGGAUCGGCUAACUCCGUGCCAGCAGCCGCGGUAAUACGGAGGAUCCGAGCGUUAUCCGGAUUUAUUGGGUUUAAAGGGAGCGUAGGUGGAUUGUUAAGUCAGUUGUGAAAGUUUGCGGCUCAACCGUAAAAUUGCAGUUGAAACUGGCAGUCUUGAGUACAGUAGAGGUGGGCGGAAUUCGUGGGGUAGCGGUGAAAUGCUUAGAUAUCACGAAGAACUCCGAUUGCGAAGGCAGUUCACUGGACUGCAACUGACACUGAGGCUCGAAAGUGUGGGUAUCAAACAGGAUUAGAUACCCCAGUAGUC
rnacentral:rRNA from 1 species